CGGUGGAUGCCUUGGCAUGCUGAGCCGAUGAAGGACGUGUGAGGCUGCGUUAUGCCUCGGGGAGUUGUCAACAAAGCGUUGAUCCGAGGAUGUCCGAAUGGGGGAACCCAGCACCGGUUGUGUGGUGUUACCUGCAGAUGAAUGCAUAGUCUGUGUGGAGGUUGACGCGGGGAAGUGAAACAUCUCAGUACCCGUAGGAGAAGAAAACAAUUGUGAUUCUGCUAGUAGCGGCGAGCGAACGUGGAUGAGG
rnacentral:rRNA from 1 species